rnacentral:rRNA from 1 species
UACGGAGGGUGCAAGCGUUAUCCGGAUUCACUGGGUUUAAAGGGUGCGUAGGUGGGUUAUUAAGUCAGUGGUGAAAUCUCCGGGCUCAACUCGGAAACUGCCAUUGAUACUAGUAGUCUUGAAUAUCGUGGAGGUAAGCGGAAUAUGUCAUGUAGCGGUGAAAUGCUUAGAUAUGACAUGGAACACCAAUUGCGAAGGCAGCUUACUACCCGAAUAUUGACACUGAGGCACGAAAGCGUGGGGAUCAAACAGG